CCUACGGGUGGCAGCAGUGGGGAAUAUUGGACAAUGGGCGAAAGCCUGAUCCAGCCAUGCCGCGUGUGUGAAGAAGGCCUUCGGGUUGUAAAGCACUUUCAGUGGGGAAGAAAGCCUUGGGGCUAAUACCCUCGAGGAAGGACAUCACCCACAGAAGAAGCACCGGCUAACUCCGUGCCAGCAGCCGCGGUAAUACGGAGGGUGCGAGCGUUAAUCGGAAUUACUGGGCGUAAAGCGCGCGUAGGUGGUCUGAUAAGCCGGUUGUGAAAGCCCCGGGCUCAACCUGGGAACGGCAUCCGGAACUGUCAGGCUAGAGUGCAGGAGAGGAAGGUAGAAUUCCCGGUGUAGCGGUGAAAUGCGUAGAGAUCGGGAGGAAUACCAGUGGCGAAGGCGGCCUUCUGGACUGACACUGACGCUGAGGUGCGAAAGCGUGGGUAGCAAACAGGAUUAGAUACCCUUGUAGUC
rnacentral:rRNA from 1 species